rnacentral:rRNA from 1 species
AGAGUUUGAUCAUGGCUCAGAUUGAACGCUGGCGGCAGGCCUAACACAUGCAAGUCGAGCGGUAGCACAGAGAGCUUGCUCUCGGGUGACGAGCGGCGGACGGGUGAGUAAUGUCUGGGAAACUGCCUGAUGGAGGGGGAUAACUACUGGAAACGGUAGCUAAUACCGCAUAAUGUCGCAAGACCAAAGUGGGGGACCUUCGGGCCUCAUGCCAUCAGAUGUGCCCAGAUGGGAUUAGCUAGUAGGUGGGGUAAUGGCUCACCUAGGCGACGAUCCCUAGCUGGUCUGAGAGGAUGACCAGCCACACUGGAACUGAGACACGGUCCAGACUCCUACGGGAGGCAGCAGUGGGGAAUAUUGCACAAUGGGCGCAAGCCUGAUGCAGCCAUGCCGCGUGUGUGAAGAAGGCCUUCGGGUUGUAAAGCACUUUCAGCGGGGAGGAAGGCGAUAAGGUUAAUAACCUUGUCGAUUGACGUUACCCGCAGAAGAAGCACCGGCUAACUCCGUGCCAGCAGCCGCGGUAAUACGGAGGGUGCAAGCGUUAAUCGGAAUUACUGGGCGUAAAGCGCACGCAGGCGGUCUGUCAAGUCGGAUGUGAAAUCCCCGGGCUCAACCUGGGAACUGCAUUCGAAACUGGCAGGCUAGAGUCUUGUAGAGGGGGGUAGAAUUCCAGGUGUAGCGGUGAAAUGCGUAGAGAUCUGGAGGAAUACCGGUGGCGAAGGCGGCCCCCUGGACAAAGACUGACGCUCAGGUGCGAAAGCGUGGGGAGCAAACAGGAUUAGAUACCCUGGUAGUCCACGCCGUAAACGAUGUCGAUUUGGAGGUUGUGCCCUUGAGGCGUGGCUUCCGGAGCUAACGCGUUAAAUCGACCGCCUGGGGAGUACGGCCGCAAGGUUAAAACUCAAAUGAAUUGACGGGGGCCCGCACAAGCGGUGGAGCAUGUGGUUUAAUUCGAUGCAACGCGAAGAACCUUACCUGGUCUUGACAUCCACAGAACUUUCCAGAGAUGGAUUGGUGCCUUCGGGAACUGUGAGACAGGUGCUGCAUGGCUGUCGUCAGCUCGUGUUGUGAAAUGUUGGGUUAAGUCCCGCAACGAGCGCAACCCUUAUCCUUUGUUGCCAGCGGUNCGAUUGACGUUACCCGCAGAAGAAGCACCGGCUAACUCCGUGCCAGCAGCCGCGGUAAUACGGAGGGUGCAAGCGUUAAUCGGAAUUACUGGGCGUAAAGCGCACGCAGGCGGUCUGUCAAGUCGGAUGUGAAAUCCCCGGGCUCAACCUGGGAACUGCAUUCGAAACUGGCAGGCUAGAGUCUUGUAGAGGGGGGUAGAAUUCCAGGUGUAGCGGUGAAAUGCGUAGAGAUCUGGAGGAAUACCGGUGGCGAAGGCGGCCCCCUGGACAAAGACUGACGCUCAGGUGCGAAAGCGUGGGGAGCAAACAGGAUUAGAUACCCUGGUAGUCCACGCCGUAAACGAUGUCGAUUUGGAGGUUGUGCCCUUGAGGCGUGGCUUCCGGAGCUAACGCGUUAAAUCGACCGCCUGGGGAGUACGGCCGCAAGGUUAAAACUCAAAUGAAUUGACGGGGGCCCGCACAAGCGGUGGAGCAUGUGGUUUAAUUCGAUGCAACGCGAAGAACCUUACCUGGUCUUGACAUCCACAGAACUUUCCAGAGAUGGAUUGGUGCCUUCGGGAACUGUGAGACAGGUGCUGCAUGGCUGUCGUCAGCUCGUGUUGUGAAAUGUUGGGUUAAGUCCCGCAACGAGCGCAACCCUUAUCCUUUGUUGCCAGCGGUNGGCCGGGAACUCAAAGGAGACUGCCAGUGAUAAACUGGAGGAAGGUGGGGAUGACGUCAAGUCAUCAUGGCCCUUACGACCAGGGCUACACACGUGCUACAAUGGCAUAUACAAAGAGAAGCGACCUCGCGAGAGCAAGCGGACCUCAUAAAGUAUGUCGUAGUCCGGAUUGGAGUCUGCAACUCGACUCCAUGAAGUCGGAAUCGCUAGUAAUCGUAGAUCAGAAUGCUACGGUGAAUACGUUCCCGGGCCUUGUACACACCGCCCGUCACACCAUGGGAGUGGGUUGCAAAAGAAGUAGGUAGCUUAACCUUCGGGAGGGCGCUUACCACUUUGUGAUUCAUGACUGGGGUGAAGUCGUAACAAGGUAACCGUAGGGGAACCUGCGGUUGGAUCACCU